UACGUAGGGGGCAAGCGUUGUCCGGAUUUAUUGGGUUUAAAGGGUGCGUAGGUGGUCUAUUAAGUCAGUGCUGAAAUAUCCCGGCUUAACCGGGAGGGUGGCAUUGAUACUGAUGGACUUGAGUAAAGUUGAGGUGGGCGGAAUUGACGGUGUAGCGGUGAAAUGCUUAGAUAUCGUCAAGAACACCUAUUGCGAAGGCAGCUCACUAAGCUUUAACUGACACUGUGGCACGAAAGUGUGGGGAUCAAACAGG
rnacentral:rRNA from 1 species